AUGGGUGAAGUAUGUUUGCCUUUUGAAAUGCUGAUGAUUUUGCUUCUGACACUAGCUCUGUCUUUCCAUGAUGCUAUACUAUCAAGCUCCCUUCAGCUCUCUUGUUUUCCUGUGAACUCCAGCAUCAUUUGUUGGCUAAAUCAUUUAUGUGAUGCCUGUAUACUCUCCCUUGAAGAGCUGUUUUUAUUUUAACAUUUAUUCUUCUCACAUCCUCUAUAUUAUAAACUCCUUGUGAAAAAAACCUCAUAUUUCAUCUCUGUAUUCUAAAUAACUUGCACCAUGAGUUUUUAAAUUGUAUGUGCUUAAUAUAUUAUUGCUGUAUUUGAAUCAAGAGUAACGUGGGGUUGCAUAUCUUAUAAAAAUGAAAGACUUGUAUCCAAAAUAUGUAAAGAAAUCUUAAAAUUCAUCAAUAAAAAAAAUCAGCCCAAUAAGAAAUGGGCA
rnacentral:lncRNA from 1 species